rnacentral:lncRNA from 12 species
GGGGGGGGGGGGGGGGGGGGGGGGGGGGGGGGGGGGGGGGGGGGGGGGGGGGGGGGGGGGGGGGGGGGGGGGGGGGGGGGGGGGGGGGGGGGGGGUUGGGGGUCCUGGGUUCAUUUUUGGGAUCCCUGACCCCCUCUCCCUGCCCCUCCCCCAGCUCCACGCCCCGGUGAGUGACAGCGACGAGGAGGCGGAGCCCUGAGGCCACGCCCACCAGGGGCACACCCAGGGGUGGAGCCUGUGCAAGCCACACCCCUCCUGUGAUGUCAACGGACCCAGCGUGACCAAGGCCACGCCCAGAGCAGUUAAACCACGCCCACCUCAUUACCAGGGCUGACCACGCCCACGGGCGGGGCCUAACCCAACCAGAGUGCCUGCACCCCUCCCAGUGUGGGCGGAGCCUGCGAGAGCCCCGCCCCAUUUUAUUGAAAAACCCAAAGCUGUUCACAGGAGGCUCCGCCCACAAACGAAGCCACUCCCACGGUGGGUGGGGCCCGGUAACGCCCCACCCCCUUUCCUUUUACGGUCAAUAAAGGACGCGCAGCGCCAGCUGUGGGCGGGGCCGGCUGUCGCUCAGUGAGGUGCGCCAGGUGACGGGGGGCGUGGCCCGGCGGGGGCGUGGCCCGGCGGGGGCGUGGCCUCACCACUUGCCCCGCUUGCUCCAGUCCUUGGGGGUGAAGUGCAGGCACUUGGCGUCGAUGCGCAGGAGCCGCUUCAGCAUCGCCCGCUCGUGGCCCUCCACGAUGUCCUCGGAGAGCGUCAGGAUGUACUGGCCCUGCGCGGGGGGACAGGUGUGUACGGGUGAGACAGGUGUACAGGAGUGUACAGGUGUGUACAGGUGUGUCAGGAUGUACUGGCCCUGCGCGGGGGGACAGGUGUGUACGGGUGAGACAGGUGUACAGGAGUGUACAGGUGUGUACAGGUGUGUCAGGAUGUACUGGCCCUGCGCGGGGGGACAGGUGUGUACGGGUGAGACAGGUGUACAGGAGUGUACAGGUGUGUACAGGUGUGUCAGGAUGUACUGGCCCUGCGCGGGGGGACAGGUGUGUACGGGUGAGACAGGUGUACAGGAGUGUACAGGUGUGUACAGGUGUGUCAGGAUGUACUGGCCCUGCGCGGGGGGACAGGUGUGUACGGGUGAGACAGGUGUACAGGAGUGUACAGGUGUGUACAGGUGUGUCAGGAUGUACUGGCCCUGCGCGGGGGGACAGGUGUGUACGGGUGAGACAGGUGUACAGGAGUGUACAGGUGUGUACAGGUGUGUCAGGAUGUACUGGCCCUGCGCGGGGGGACAGGUGUGUACGGGUGAGACAGGUGUACAGGAGUGUACAGGUGUGUACAGGUGUGUCAGGAUGUACUGGCCCUGCGCGGGGGGACAGGUGUGUACGGGUGAGACAGGUGUACAGGAGUGUACAGGUGUGUACAGGUGUGUCAGGAUGUACUGGCCCUGCGCGGGGGGACAGGUGUGUACGGGUGAGACAGGUGUACAGGAGUGUACAGGUGUGUACAGGUGUGUCAGGAUGUACUGGCCCUGCGCGGGGGGACAGGUGUGUACGGGUGAGACAGGUGUACAGGUGUGUACGGGUGAGACAGGUGUACAGGUGUGUACAGGUGUGUACGGGUGAGACAGAUGUACAGGUGUGUACAGGUGUGUCAGGAUGUACUGGCCCUAGGGGACAGGUGUACAGGUGUGUACAGGUGUAUACAGGUGUGUAAAGGUGAGACAUGAUGUAUUGGCCCUGCACGGUGGGACAGGUGUACAGGUGUGUACAGGUGUACAGGUGUGUCAGGAUGUACUGGCCCUAGGGGACAGGUGUACAGGUGUGUACAGGUGUAUACAGGUGUGUAAAGGUGAGACAUGAUGUAUUGGCCCUGCACGGUGGGACAGGUGUACAGGUGUGUACAGGUGUACAGGUGUGUCAGGAUGUACUGGCCCUGUGGGGGGACAGGUGGGACAAGUGUACAGGUGUGUGCUGACCCUGGACAGGUGUGUACAGGUAUGUACUGACUCUGUACAGUGUGUCAGGAUGUACUGGCCCUGGGGGACAGGUGUACAGGUGUGUACAGGUGUGUCAGGAUGUACUGGCCCUGCGCGGGGGGACAGGUGUGUACGGGUGAGACAGGUGUACAGGUGUGUACAGGUGUGUCAGGAUGUACAAGCCCUGCGAGGGGACAGGUGUACAGGUGAGACAGGUGUGUACAGGUGUGUCAGGAUGUACAAGCCCUGCGAGGGGACAGGUGUACAGGUGAGACAGGUGUGUACAGGUGUGUCAGGAUGUACAAGCCCUGCGAGGGGACAGGUGUACAGGUGAGACAGGUGUGUACAGGUGUGUCAGGAUGUACAAGCCCUGCGAGGGGACAGGUGUACAGGUGAGACAGGUGUGUACAGGUGUGUCAGGAUGUACAAGCCCUGCGAGGGGACAGGUGUACAGGUGAGACAGGUGUGUACAGGUGUGUCAGGAUGUACAAGCCCUGCGAGGGGACAGGUGUACAGGUGAGACAGGUGUGUACAGGUGUGUCAGGAUGUACAAGCCCUGCGAGGGGACAGGUGUACAGGUGAGACAGGUGUGUACAGGUGUGUCAGGAUGUACAAGCCCUGCGAGGGGACAGGUGUACAGGUGAGACAGGUGUGUACAGGUGUGUCAGGAUGUACAAGCCCUGCGAGGGGACAGGUGUACAGGUGAGACAGGUGUGUACAGGUGUGUCAGGAUGUACAAGCCCUGCGAGGGGACAGGUGUACAGGUGAGACAGGUGUGUACAGGUGUGUCAGGAUGUACAAGCCCUGCGAGGGGACAGGUGUACAGGUGAGACAGGUGUGUACAGGUGUGUCAGGAUGUACAAGCCCUGCGAGGGGACAGGUGUACAGGUGAGACAGGUGUGUACUGAGCCUGUACAGGUGUGUCAGGAUGUACUGGCCCUGCACGGGGGGGACAGGUGUGCACAUGAGACAGGUGUGUCAGGAUGUACUAGCCCUGGACAUGUGGAACAGGUAAGACAGGUGUGUACAGGUGGGUGUGUACAGGUGUAUCAGGGUGCACUGACCCCAUACAGGUGUGUACAGUCAGGGUGUACUGAUCCUGUACAGGUGUGUCAGGGUGCACUGACCCCAUACAGGUGCGUACAGGUGUGUACUGACCCUGUGCAGGUGGGAACAGGUGAGAAUCAGGGUGCACUGACCCCAUACAGGUGUGUACAGGUGUGUACUGACCCUGUGCAGGUGGGAACAGGUGAGACAGACGUGCAGGUGGGACAGCUGUGUACAGGUGUGUACUGAGCCUGUAAAAGUGUGCACAGGUGCACUGUGCCCAUACAGGUGUGCACAGUUGUGUCAGGGUGUACUGGCCCUGUACAGGUGUGCACAGGUGAGGAAAAAAUUCGUGUGUGGGACCCAGAUGUCUAAAUGAGGAUGCACAAAAAUAUUUCACCGGCCCCCCCCAGGUGUGCGGGCCCCCCCAGGUGUGCGGGCCCCCAGGAAAAAAUUCGUGUGUGGGACCCAGAUGUCUAAAUGAGGAUGCACAAAAAUAUUUCACCGGCCCCCCCCAGGUGUGCGGGCCCCCCCAGGUGUGCGGGGCGCACCUUGUAGUAGUUGAUGAGGUUCAGGUACUGCAGCGUGGAGAUCACGUCCUCCUUCUUGAUACUGGUGAU